rnacentral:rRNA from 1 species
CCUACGGGUGGCAGCAGUGGGGGAUAUUGCACAAUGGGGGAAACCCUGAUGCAGCGACGCCGCGUGAGUGAAGAAGUCUUUCGGUAUGUAAAGCUCUAUCAGCAGGGACGAAAAUGACAGUACCUGACCAAGAAGCCCCGGCUACCUACGUCCCAGCAGCCGCGGUAAUACGUAGGGGGCAAGCGUUAUCCGGAUUUACUGGGUGUAAAGGGAGCGCAGGCGGUCUGUUAAGUCAGCGGUCAAAGCCCGGGGCUCACCCCCGGCCCGCCGUUGAAACUGGCAGUCUCGAGUGGGAGAGAAGUAUGCGGAAUGCGCGGUGUAGCGGUGAAAUGCAUAGAUAUCGCGCAGAACUCCGAUUGCGAAGGCAGCAUGCCGGAUCCAAACUGACGCUGAGGCACGAAAGCGUGGGUAUCGAACAGGAUUAGAUACCCUAGUAGUC